ensembl:lncRNA
GCCAACGUAAGUUACGUUACAUUGCCUAAAUUCAAUAUGUUACACAAUAACGCAAUAAUGAAGUCAAUGCUGACAUUUGGUUUGGCACGAGACCUCCAUCCAUCCAUCCAUCCCAACCACCUCCAAUGUUCAACGUUAUCGCUCUGUCAGCUGACAUUGUUUUGUCUGUGGCAUUCUAGCAAAGAAAGGUGUGCUGGUAAACAAGUAUGCAGGGGAGCAAGGAGGGAGGGCACACACACACACACACACACACACACACACACAGUAACACAGGGGAAAACAAGAUACACAGAGGAAGAGAGACACAUGCAAAAUAACCAGAGGCACGGCAGUAGCUGGGACAACUUUGGAUUUGGGAAUCACGCACACUGGUCUAGUAAUGAGGAUUUUCAUUCAUUGUGUCAAACAACUGAAGAAAAAAGUGAUUAUUUACUGUUAUUGUGAAAAAAAAUGUAAUGAAUUUAAAGAAUGCAGACAAAUAGAUAUUGUUUGAUUGGGCGGCGUCUGAACCCUCUGGCUACAUCCUGCUAUGCUUUGAUUCACGUCAUUCAUACCUUACACACUUUAAGAGAACACAAGAGGAGUGCAGGCGCUAACUUGCCUUUCACCUUUAAGGAGAAAUUGACCGAGGGAAUAUUGUUUGCAGCCGACUCAGGACCUGCUGCUGCUUCGUCUCCACUCUCAGGAAAUAAUGAUCUUCAACAUCCUGCUGCUCAUGGACCUGACAUGUAUCUGUGGAACAUUUGUAGUGAAUGUGACACAGACCUCCUAUCAGGCAGAGGAGAACAAUAACGUCACACUGGAAUGGAUGUUCACAACCAACACCGACAGUUCCCACAACUCCCUUUAUAUCUUCUGUGAACUGAUUACUGAUCAAAAGGAUCCAGUCCUGUAUCAUCUACAUGAAGGUGUCGAGGUCCCAGAGUCUCAGGAUGAACAGUUUGCAGGACGAGUCCAGUGUGACAAAGACGUCCUCACAGAAGGAAAAAUCAGACUCCAUGUGUCCAAACUCAGGACUGAAGACUCUGGCCCGUACCUGUGUGAUGUGAAAAUUAAUGAUGGUGUUGGCUUGGGUAAAUGUCAGCUCAAUGUCACUGGUAAGUUAAUUCAGUAAAAUUCAGUAAGUCUACAAUCAUGCCAACAGCUUUGUGAGGCUGUACUGAACAACCAUGCUCAGAAUCAAACAGAUUUUUUUUUCUAAUUAGCACUUAACAGAAGCUAUAGCUGAGUUGAGUUACCACCGUGUUUUGGACAAAUUAAUAUUUAUACCUGAUUAUGGCACAAAAAGAAACAUUAGUGGAUCACCGAAGUUAAAAUGUAUUCUUUGGGACAGAGCUGUGCUGCUAAUGUGGCUAAAACUCUCCAUCAUAACUACCUAGAGCCAUGAAACAGUGGCUAGCAGCAAAUCCUUACAUUUGAGAAGCUAUAACUAGAUAUUGUCUGAUGUUUGUACUGGAAAAGUUGCAGACUAUUAAUGUCUUUACUUAUAUGGAUAUCGUAUUUUCAGUCAAGUAGUAAAUAAUGAUUUUUUUGGUUGUUCAGCUGUUGAUGAACCCAAACCUCAUAAACCAUCUGAGAGACCACAACCAGAGAAUCGAGAAGAGGUUGGACUCUAUGUUGGACUGGGAGCAGCUGCUCUACUGGUUCUCUGUGCUGGACUCGGCACUGCCUUCAAACUUUAUUUUACAAGAAAAAAAAAGGGACCUGCAGUUGUAUAGAUAUUGAGUUUCUCAGAGAAACAAACAAUAAGGACUAAGAGAACAAUGUCUGGCAGUUGGUUCAAGAUCUCAGUCAUGAAACCAAGAGACAGACUCCAAGACUCUCCAACAUCUGUUUUAAGAAAACUACUUGUGAUAUGAAAUGUAUAUGUUUGUGGUAAAUGGUGUUCAUGUUACAAUGGGUUUGGUUUAAAUUAAAUACAGCAUUAAUAAUUAAUGUGAAUGUCAAUAAUGCUUCCACUGUGAUCCCAGAUAUUUCAUGUUUAAUAUCACUUCAGAAGUAGUGCACAGGCAAGACAUCUAAACAGUCAGUGUCGGGUUGAUGUAGCUACAUGGACUCCAUUCAACAUCCUCCAUUAUAAGAUCUCUAAAAUGUCACAGUUAUUACUGUAUGAUGGGUUUUUCAGAGGAAUAAUUCAGAUUUAGCAUUCAGUUGGUUCAGUCACGGAUCGCCCUGUUCUCCAACCAGCUGUUAUUAAUCAUCAGUUAAAGACUGUGUCUGGAAUUAACAAGACAACAGAAUUUUAAAAGUACUGUACAGUUAAUUAUAUCGUAAUCCGACUGAUGGACAUGCACUGUCUUUCCUAUGUACUGUUUAUACUGUAUACAUGUUGUAAAUAAAUCUCUAUUUACAUGAGAUAAGUUGUCAUUAAUCUUCUGUGUGUAAUUCUUUUAAUAUCAGACAUACAAAUGUUGAAUUUCAGU